rnacentral:rRNA from 1 species
UACAGAGGGUGCGAGCGUUGUCCGGAAUCACUGGGCGUAAAGGGCGCGUAGGUGGCCCGACCAGUCACUGGUGAAAGCUCGACGCUCAACGUCGAGUCGGCCAGUGAUACUGUUGGGCUGGAGCACUGUAGAGGCAGAUGGAAUUCCGGGUGUAGCGGUGGAAUGCGUAGAGAUCCGGAAGAACACCGGUGGCGAAGGCGGUCUGCUGGGCAGUAGCUGACACUGAGGCGCGACAGCGUGUGGAGCAAACAGG